rnacentral:tRNA from 1 species
UCCCUGGUGGCUCAGUGGUGAAGAAUCAGCCUGCAAUGCAGGAGACACAGGUUCGACCCCUGAUCGGGGAG